rnacentral:rRNA from 1 species
UACGAAGGGUGCAAGCGUUAUUCGGAAUCAUUGGGCGUAAAGCGCGCGCAGGCGGAUUAAUAAGUCAGGUGUGAAAUCUCGAGGCUCAACCUCGAAACUGCGCCUGAAACUAUUAGUCUAGAAUGUCGGAGGGGGCAGGGGAAUUUCACGUGUAGGGGUAAAAAUCCGUAGAGAUGUGAAGGAACACCGGAGGCGAAGGCGCCUGCCUGGACGACUAUUGACGCUGAGGCGCGAAAGCGUGGGGAGCAAACAGG